rnacentral:misc_RNA from 1 species
GCAAACUUGGUCAUUUAGAGGAAGUAAAAGUCGUAACAAGGUUUCCGUAGGUGAACCUGCGGAAGGAUCAUUAUCGUACAACAGAGGCACCCAGGGCUGUCGCUGGCCUUAACAGGUUGUGCACGCCCAAAGUGCUCUCAAAUCCAUCUCACCCCUUUGUGCAUCACCGCGUGGGGCCCCCAUUCGGGGGUCUUGCGUUUUUACAACAUACACCGCAUGUAUAGAAUGUCUUUGCGAUCACACGCAAUUAAUAUAACUUUCAACAACGGAUCUCUUGGCUCUCGCAUCGAUGAAGAACGCAGC